rnacentral:rRNA from 1 species
GUGACCUCAAAUCAGGUAGGACUACCCCUUUCCCUCAUUUAUGCGAGUGAAUUGUCAAUAGCUCGAUUUAAAUCUGACAGUCUUCCCUGUGCGAGCUGUAAUCUAAAGAAGUGUUAGACAGCGAUGGACCGAGGACUACUCCCCUGAAUGGAGCGAAUGGAGAGUGAGAAUCUUUAUUUCAGACGGACUACGGGUGCUUUGUGAUGCGUCUUCAAAAGGCGAGUUGCUUGGGAAUCCAGCUCAAACUGCUUG